rnacentral:rRNA from 1 species
UACGGGGGGAGCAAGCGUUGUUCGGAUUUACUGGGCGUAAAGGGCGCGUAGGCGGCGCAACAAGUCACUUGUGAAAUCUCCGGGCUUAACCCGGAGCGGUCAAGUGAUACUGUCGUGCUAGAGUGCGGAAGGGGCUACUGGAAUUCUCGGUGUAGCGGUGAAAUGCGUAGAUAUCGAGAGGAACACCUGCGGCGAAGGCGGGUAGCUGGGCCGACACUGACGCUGAUGCGGCGAAAGCCCAGAGGAGCGAACGGG